AGUCCAUGGUAAUAAACAUCUAUAAUCCUAGCCCUGGGAGGGCAACACAGGAGGAUUAGGAGGCAGGGCCAGCCUGGGCUACUAAACAAAACUCAGAAAACAAACGAAAUACUCCUCUGAGACCACGGAUGGUGAGCAGAGCCUGAGAGUUUGACCCGGACCUGCAGAACUUGGAGCAGAUGGUGGUGGUGCUGGGAAUCUGAACUCAAGUUUUCAGGGCAAGCACUUAACCAAAGGAGCUACCUCCACAGCCCCAAGGUUCAAGACUUUAUCUGAUGCCCUUGCCCUUCAGCCGAUGAUCCGAUGAUCAACCCUCAGCACAUCUUGUAGCACACAGCCUGCAUCCUGAUGAGGACAACAAGGUCUUCCCCUGAACCUGGGACUUAUCGACAUGGCAGAACUAACUGGUAUCUGUGUAUGAUCUUGAACUUCACAUCCUCCUGCCUCAGCACUGAAAGCUCCAGGAUUAGGAAGGACACUCUCUGCCACACUUGGCCUUCUUUGUAUUUGAGUUCUUUAGACAGGACUGGACCUGAGGUACACAACCUACUCUAAAGAGGGUCAGGGAGAAAAGGGAAGCAGCU